CCUACGGGAUGCAGCAGUGGGGAAUAUUGGGCAAUGGGCGCAAGCCUGACCCAGCAAUGCCGCGUGAAGGAAGAAGGCUUUAGGGUUGUAAACUUCUUUGACAGGGGAAGAGCAGAAGACGGUACCCUGAAAACAAGCCACGGCUAACUAAGUGCCAGCAGCCGGGGUAAUACGUAGGUGGCAAGAGUUGUCCGGAUUUACUGGGUGUAAAGGGCGUGUAGCCGGGAAGGCAAGUCAGAUGUGAAAGCUGGAGGCUCAACCUUCAAUGUGCAUUUGAAACUGUUUUUCUUGAGUACUGGAGAGGCAGACGGAAUUCGUUGUGUAGCGGUGAAAUGCGUAGAUAUAAGGAGGAACACCAAUGGCGAAGGCGGUCUGCUGGACAGCCACUGACGGUGAGGCGCGAAAGCGUGGGGAGCAAACAGGAUUAGAUACCCGAGUAGUC
rnacentral:rRNA from 1 species